GUUUUGGGGAGCAAUGAGUUUUGGUUUUUCGGUGGAGAGUUCCAAUACUCUAGCAGUUGCAAUUUGUUUUGGCGCUCAAGCUUUUUCACAUAUGGAUUUUGGGAGGGAGAAGAAGACUAAAGGAGUACUAUUUAUUGUGGGAUUUGUAAUUGCAAAUUUGGAAUAACUAAGCUUUAAGGCUUCGUUUGAGAGUUCAUAAGAGAAUGAAAUAAUUAUAAGGGAAUGGAAAUUAAUGGAA